GACGAAGGAUGCAAGCGUUAUCCGGAUUCAUUGGGUUUAAAGGGUGCGUAGGCGGGUUAUUAAGUCAGUGGUGAAAGCUCCCAGCUCAACUGGGAAACUGCCAUUGAUACUGAUAGUCUUGAGUAUGAUUGAAGUGGGCGGAAUGUGUCAUGUAGCGGUGAAAUGCUUAGAUAUGACACAGAACACCGAUUGCGAAGGCAGCUCACUAAGCCAUAACUGACGCUGAUGCACGAAAGCGUGGGGAGCAAACAGG
rnacentral:rRNA from 1 species